UGGCGAACGGGUGAGUAACACGUGAGCAACCUGCCCCUGGCUCUGGGACAACCACUGGAAACGGUGGCUAAUACCGGAUACGACCCGCCUCGGCAUCGAGUGUGGGUGGAAAGUUUUUCGGCUGGGGAUGGGCUCGCGGCCUAUCAGCUUGUUGGUGGGGUGAUGGCCUACCAAGGCGACGACGGGUAGCCGGCCUGAGAGGGCGACCGGCCACACUGGGACUGAGACACGGCCCAGACUCCUACGGGAGGCAGCAGUGGGGAAUAUUGCACAAUGGGCGAAAGCCUGAUGCAGCGACGCCGCGUGAGGGAUGACGGCCUUCGGGUUGUAAACCUCUUUCAGCUCCGAAGAAGCGCAAGUGACGGUAGGAGCAGAAGAAGCACCGGCUAACUACGUGCCAGCAGCCGCGGUAAUACGUAGGGUGCAAGCGUUGUCCGGAAUUAUUGGGCGUAAAGAGCUCGUAGGCGGUGUGUCGCGUCUGCUGUGAAAACUCAGGGCUCAACUCUGAGCUUGCAGUGGGUACGGGCACACUUGAGUGCUGUAGGGGAGACUGGAAUUCCUGGUGUAGCGGUGAAAUGCGCAGAUAUCAGGAGGAACACCGGUGGCGAAGGCGGGUCUCUGGGCAGUUACUGACGCUGAGGAGCGAAAGCAUGGGGAGCGAACAGGAUUA
rnacentral:rRNA from 1 species